rnacentral:lncRNA from 1 species
UUUGUCAGAGAAAAAAUGGCCCAAAUAAAUCUGGGUGUUCCUGAAUUAAAUUAUAAACUGAUAAGAGUUCUGAACUUCAGGAGAAAGCAAAUUAGCAUUCUUCUGUAGUGUAAAUCAGAAGAAGAUGUUUCCAGUCAAACUGCGUACCUGCUGCCUUCUUUAAGAGUGAGAGGUGUAGAUCCCAGAGGUUGAUAAUUUAUGGGCAUUAUAUCUUAUAAGUUGUUUACCUUUGUUGUACUGCUCUCUCUCUCUCUCUCUCUCUCUCUCUCUCUCUCUCUCUCACAUAGUGACUACAAAAUGUUGUUAACCUUUACCAAAUUUGGUGGCAGUGUUGACAGUUGAUCUUUAUACUUUUAUGUAAGUUGCUUACUUCUAUCCUAUAGUGUUAACAGUUGGCAUUUCUUAUUUGUUUAGAUCCAUCUCUUUUGCCAUCUUGAUAGUCGGUAGUUUGGCAACAAUUAAAAGAUCCCUCGAAUGAUGGAUCAACGCGCAGUAAUCUGUUACCUGCAGGCUGCAGGGAGCUAUAAUUAUUGAAUUAUGAUCAAGUUUAUAUGAGAUUGAGCUAGUAGUGUCUUGAGUUCCAUCUCUUAAGAGCUCUAGCUUGUAGCAAGUUAUCUAACCUGGAUUUGAAUAUAAGAAUUGUUUGAGUUCAUUUUCUCCAAGGUCAGGUCAACAAGUUAUGCUUGAGAUUCCUAGACUGUUAAGCCUUGUAGCUACUAGUAUUUAAUCUCCUUCUGCCU